GAUGAACGCUGGCGGCGUGCCUAACACAUGCAAGUCGAGCGAUUUACUUCGGUAAAGAGCGGCGGACGGGUGCGUAACGCGUGGGUAACCUGCCCUGUACACACGGAUAACAUACCGAAAGGUAUGCUAAUACGAGAUAAUAUGCUUUUAUCGCAUGGUAGAAGUAUCAAAGCUUUUGCGGUACAGGAUGGACCCGCGUCUGAUUAGCUAGUUGGUGAGGUAACGGCUCACCAAGGCGACGAUCAGUAGCCGACCUGAGAGGGUGAUCGGCCACAUUGGAACUGAGACACGGUCCAAACUCCUACGGGAAGCAGCAGUGGGGAAUAUUGCACAAUGGGCGAAAGCCUGAUGCAGCAACGCCGCGUGAGCGAUGAAGGCCUUCGGGUCGUAAAGCUCUGUCCUCAAGGAAGAUAAUGACGGUACUUGAGGAGGAAGCCCCGGCUAACUACGUG
rnacentral:rRNA from 1 species